GGGUAAAGGCCCACCAAGGCGACGAUCCGUAUCUGGUCUGAAAGGAUGAUCAGCCACACUGGAACUGAGACACGGUCCAGACUCCUACGGGAGGCAGCAGUGGGGAAUAUUGGACAAUGGGCGCAAGCCUGAUCCAGCCAUACCGCGUGGGUGAAGAAGGCCUUCGGGUUGUAAAGCCCUUUUGUUGGGAAAGAAAUCCAGCCGGCUAAUACCUGGUUGGGAUGACGGUACCCAAAGAAUAAGCACCGGCUAACUUCGUGCCAGCAGCCGCGGUAAUACGAAGGGUGCAAGCGUUACUCGGAAUUACUGGGCGUAAAGCGUGCGUAGGUGGUUGUUUAAGUCUGUUGUGAAAGCCCUGGGCUCAACCUGGGAACUGCAGUGGAAACUGGACAACUAGAGUGUGGUAGAGGGUAGCGGAAUUCCCGGUGUAGCAGUGAAAUGCGUAGAGAUCGGGAGGAACAUCCAUGGCGAAGGCAGCUACCUGGACCAACACUGACACUGAGGCACGAAAGCGUGGGGAGCAAACAGGAUUAGAUACCCUGGUAGUCCACGCCCUAAACGAUGCGAACUGGAUGUUGGGUGCAAUUUGGCACGCAGUAUCGAAGCUAACGCGUUAAGUUCGCCGCCUGGGGGAGUACGGUCGCAAGACUGAAACUCAAAGGAAUUGACGGGGGCCCGCACAAGCGGUGGAAUUAUGUGGUUUAAUUCGAUGCAACGCGAAGAACCUUACCUGGCCUUGACAUGUCGAGAACUUUCAGAAGAUGGAUUGGUGCCUUCGGGAACUCGAACACAGGUGCUGCAUGGCUGUCGUCAGCUCGUGUCGUGGAGAUG
rnacentral:rRNA from 1 species